CCCUUAGAUGUUCUGGGCCGCACGCGCGCUACACUGACGAAUGCAACGAGCUUAUAACCUUGGCCGAAAGGUCUGGGUAAUCUCCAAAUUUCGUCGUGAUGGGGAUAGAUUAUUGCAAUUAUUAAUCUUCAACGAGGAAUGCCUAGUAAGCGCAAGUCAUCAGCUUGCGUUGAUUACGUCCCUGCCCCUUGUACACACCGCCCGUCGCUCCUACCGAUUGAAUGGUCCGGUGAAGCGUUCGGACCGUGGCCUUUGGACGGUUCGCCGUCUGUUGGCUGCGGGAAGUUCGUUAAACCUUAUCAUUUAGAGGAAGGAGAAGUCGUANCA
rnacentral:rRNA from 1 species